rnacentral:lncRNA from 1 species
GAGUGAGCAACUACAUUUCCCAAAAUAUGGUAACCUUCGAGCAAUUUAGGGUUUCCAAUUGGUGAGCCGUGGAACCGAGUGCCUGCAUUGUUGAUUCCAGAGGGUUUUACGUGGUUGAGGGGAAGACACUCGAUCGAGAUUUGCACAGGUAAUACUCACUUUAGUCUUUGAUUAUUUAGGGUUUCCAAUUGGUGAGCCGUGGAACCGAGUGCCUGCAUUGUUGAUUCCAGAGGGUUUUACGUGGUUGAGGGGAAGACACUCGAUCGAGAUUUGCACAGGUAAUACUCACUUUAGUCUUUGAUUAUUUAGGGUUUCCAAUUGGUGAGCCGUGGAACCGAGUGCCUGCAUUGUUGAUUCCAGAGGGUUUUACGUGGUUGAGGGGAAGACACUCGAUCGAGAUUUGCACAGGUAAUACUCACUUUAGUCUUUGAUUUACCUAGGCUUCAAUUUGAGAGCCAUAAUGAAGAUUUUUUGUUGCUCCAAAAUGCAGUUUACAUGUUUGUAUUGUCCUUGUAGUAUAGCGAUCAUUUCUUUUGGCUUGAUGAUUUUAUUUGUACGUAUUCUUUGAUUGGCCCAGAAAUAGAGUAGAUCGACCAUAAUCGAAGCAUAUAGAAAAACAUCUACUUUUUGUUGGAGUAACAUAUAAUGUUGCCACUGUUUGAUUGUGGCAUGGCGUAUGAGACCUGGUCUUAGCCCUCACUGUGAUACUAACCAAAGGAUUUGGUUAGAUGAUAGUGGAGAAAAAGGUGAUGUAGGACUCCUCUCCAGCACUAUAUAACCUGCAACGGUUAAGAAAAGGGGAUUAGGUGUAGAAGUCAUAUUGGAGUAUUAUCUAUACCACAUGAAUUUAUGCCGAGGUAGGAUAUUUAAUUCUAUUAGAAGCUUCCAGUUUAUAUGAUUUGCUCUGUGUCUGAGGUUUGUGAAUGUUUUACGUAGGAGUUAGUAGGCUGUUAUAAGGUCAACUAUUUAUUUUCUUGUGUGUGCCGAGAGCCCAUUAAGUUUGGGAAGGGUGUGAAGUGUUGAUGGGAGUUGACAUUAUUGAUUAGACUAUGUGAACAGGGUCUAGGGAGAUGACAUGGGAGUAAUCCCAUUGGUGGGUAGUAGGGUUUACUGUUGGACAUUUGUGAGCUGAGAAGUGAUUGGAGGGGGGUUAAAAUGAAUUUUUAAGGAAGGGAUCCAAGGGUCCGACUGAGUCUGGGUUAAUUUCGUUGUAGCAAACGAUAUGUAAUAUAUGUUUUGUUUUGAGAAUACCAUUCCAUAGAUAAGAAUCUUUUGUUGCUAGGACUAUGAACUUUCAAUACCAUUCAUAAUGGAUUAAUCUAUUUGAAUUAAUGAUAUCCAAAUCAUAUUAGUUCUCUGGUUACUGGAUAUUUUAUCAUACUGUAUUUGUUACAAAAAGCCGUCCACAUAAACAUACAAACUCUAGUAAUUGAGGAUCAGUAAGAAUUAUUGGUGGUAGUGAAUUUAGUGGAAAAAGAGCGAGAAUGAGAUGGAAUAGAUGGAGUAGAAUUUUGAUCUCAGUCAGAACAGAAGGAAGAGAAGUUAUGGAUGUUGAAGAAGAAAAAAGUUGGCGAUCUAUGGCUACAAAUGGCAACAAAGCGUACUUUUAUUUUUUAAAUUGUGUCGAGUUUGCAGGUUAUUUGACUUGCAUAUGACCUGCUCAUUAAUAAAAAUUUUAUACUCUUUACAUAUGGUUACAUUUAUAUAUUCUUUAUAUGUUUAUAUUAAUAAAAAAGUUAUAUUAAUAUAUUUAUGUUUGUCUUCAUAAAAAUGAAAUAUGCAUAAUGAGUCGGGCUUCGCCAGAUUUUAAUAAACCAAACCCGAACAUUCCUGCUCUGGUAUAAUUUUUCUGCCAACACGAACCUGAUUCAACUUGAACUUGCUGUUUGUUAAAAAAAAAACUGCUACAGGUCAGGUUCAGGCAGAUUGAUUUAUGCAAGUUUGGGAAAAAGAAAUUCAUCCCUAUCUGUGACUCUAAUACCAUGUCAAGUAAACAGAUAAUAGGUGAAGAGUUGUUAUUAGUAUUGUACUUCCAUCAAGUAUAUGUAGGUAUAUGAGAUGAUAUAAGUACAUGAAGCAUUUGAAAAUACAAUAAAUGUAAGAUUACUCCAAAAGAGAUAGGUACAAUAAAUGAAGUAUUUGAUAAAAUACAAUAAAUGAAAAAUACAAUAAAUAACGUUUGUCACUGAAUUAACUCAUAAAUAAUUCAUGCAAUGCUUACUCUAAAAGAGAUCAAAAAAGUUACUUAAGCGAUAUGUGCACUUAACUAGGUACAUAUAAAAUAUAUAUAUAUAUUUAUUUUGAAGAAGAAGAGAGCACAAUUUAUUUUGUUAUAUAUGGUGAUGGGAGCUAAAUUAAUUAGUUUAGUCUCCAUUGCUUGGCCACACAAGAUAGUGAUUCAUAAGAAGACCCCCCAUAAUCUAAUGAUUUUAAAGCGCUAUCUUUUAGUUCCUUAACUCUGCACCUAAUAGCCUUUCCUUCCUCACCCUCCAUUAGUACUCUCACCACUCUCUCUAUCUCUUCACGUCUAACCACUGUCUUUCCUCUCUCCACCUCGGGCCUGAUUGCUAGCUUUACCUCCUCUGUCAGAAAUGUUGCAUUCGUUCUCUGUUCUGCAUAAAGGGGCCAAGUGAUCAUUGGUACGCCAUGAGUUAUGCUUUCAAGUGAUGAAUUCCAUCCGCAGUGAGAUAGGAAACCGCCUGUUGAUGGAUGGCGGAGUACUGUGGUUUGUGGAGCCCAUGAUGGAAUCACCAGACCCAAUGCGUUAGUCCUCUCAAGGAAUC